UACGUAGGGUGCGAGCGUUGUCCGGAAUUACUGGGCGUAAAGAGCUCGUAGGUGGUUUGUCGCGUUGUUCGUGAAAUCCCACGGCUUAACUGUGGGCGUGCGGGCGAUACGGGGCAGACUGGAGUACUGCAGGGGAGACUGGAAUUCCUGGUGUAGCGGUGGAAUGCGCAGAUAUCAGGAGGAACACCGGUGGCGAAGGCGGGGUCUCUGGGCAGUAACUGACGCUGAGGAGCGAAAGCGUGGGGAGCGAACAGG
rnacentral:rRNA from 1 species